UACGUAGGGUGCAAGCGUUAAUCGGAAUUACUGGGCGUAAAGCGUGCGCAGGCGGUUUCGUAAGACAGAUGUGAAAUCCCCGGGCUUAACCUGGGAACUGCAUUUGUGACUGCGAGGCUAGAGUGUGUCAGAGGGAGGUGGAAUUCCGCGUGUAGCAGUGAAAUGCGUAGAGAUGCGGAGGAACACCGAUGGCGAAGGCAGCCUCCUGGGGAUAACACUGACGCUCAUGCACGAAAGCGUGGGGAGCAAACGAGG
rnacentral:rRNA from 1 species